AGUGAACGCUGGCGGUAGGCCUAACACAUGCAAGUCGAACGGCAGCACAGUAAGAGCUUGCUCUUACGGGUGGCGAGUGGCGGACGGGUGAGGAAUACAUCGGAAUCUACUUUUUCGUGGGGGAUAACGUAGGGAAACUUACGCUAAUACCGCAUACGACCUACGGGUGAAAGCAGGGGAUCUUCGGACCUUGCGCGAUUGAAUGAGCCGAUGUCGGAUUAGCUAGUUGGCGGGGUAAAGGCCCACCAAGGCGACGAUCCGUAGCUGGUCUGAGAGGAUGAUAAGCGACACUGGAACUGAGACACGGUCCAGACUACUAAGGGAGGCAGCAGUGGGGAAUAGUGGACAAAGGGCGCAAGCCUGAUCCAGCCAUACCGCGUGGGUGAAGAAGGCCUUCGGGUUGUAAAGCCCUUUUGUUGGGAAAGAAAAGCAGCAGGUUAAUACCCAGCUGUUCUGACGGUACCCAAAGAAUAAGCACCGGCUAACUUCGUG
rnacentral:rRNA from 1 species